rnacentral:lncRNA from 1 species
CAAACCAUACAAUGUCUUCUAGACAUCAAAAGGCAUCGAGAAAUCUUUGUGGUGAUUCACAGAGACAUAUCAAGGACAGCUAGAAAAAAAAGAAAGAAAAAAUGCACACACCUUAAAUAUUUGGAAGAGAGAGUUUUUAGUAGUUUGGGUCUUUAAGGACCCAAAAUAGUUUGUCUUUAAGGACUCAAAAAAUGCCCAGUUUAAGCGGAGGAAGUAUGAAGCUGACCACUUUAAAACUUAUGUGAUAUCAGUUUAGUUUUCCCCAAAGUGUGGGUCCUGCAUCACUUACAAUAUAUGAGAACUAUGAAGUGCCCUUUGUUAGGGAAUCAAACAGCAAAUGCGGAAUAUAAAGGAUAGUAGGAGAGAUGAAUAACACGGCAAAAACAAUAGCAAAACGCACAAGACACGCAAGUUUAUGUGGUUCGGAGUCUCUUGCUCCUACGUCCACAGCCGCACAGAUCAAUAAUUCACUAUAUGAUCAAAGGAAGUUACAGAAAUUCAAGAGAAGAGUAACAAACUCUCUUUCUCACAGCAAACAAUCUCUCUCAAGAUGAGCAACACGUCGUCUUCCUGAUGCACACAAAGGAUCUUCCUUUUGAAACCUCUCGUUGAUGAGUUCUAGGGUUUCUCUAGGUUGCAACAUGCCUCCUCGUGUCCCUUAAGAAGUCUAUAUAUACCUCCCAAUCUCUUACUUUGAUUAGGGCUCAAAAAACCUUGGCUUGGACCCGGUUCAUAACUCAGCCUCGCGUGAAAACUGUGCUCGAGUCGACUCCCGCAAUACUGCGAGUCGACUCGGCAACAGUCCACAGAAAAAGGCCUCUCUGUCUGCCUGUGGGAGUCGACUCCUGGAGUUCUCGAGUCGACUCCAACACUGGGGAGUCGACUCCAGGUCUGCUGGAGUCGACUCCAAAAACUGUGCCAAGACUUCUUGCGUGCCAGAGUCGACUCCAAGUCUGCUGGAGUCGACUCCGGACCUUGCUGAAGGUUUCUUUCUUUGCUGAUUCAACUCCAAAUCUUCUCGAAACUCUUUCCGGCUUGUCUUCCCUUGAUCCUCCACCACCAUAGUGCACAUAGG